rnacentral:piRNA from 1 species
UAGACUUGAGAAUAUUUGGGACAAGCAGGU